GAUGAACGCUGGCGGCGUGCCUAAUACAUGCAAGUAGAACGCUGAAGGAGGAGCUUGCUCUGUCCGGAUGAGUUGCGAACGGGUGAGUAACGCGUAGGUAACCUGCCUGGUAGCGGGGGAUAACUAUUGGAAACGAUAGCUAAUACCGCAUAACAGUAGAUAUUGCAUGAUAUUUGCUGGAAAGGGGCAAUUGCUCCACUACCAGAUGGACCUGCGUUGUAUUAGCUAGUUGGUGAGGUAACGGCUCACCAAGGCGACGAUACAUAGCCGACCUGAGAGGGUGGUCGGCCGCACUGGGACUGAGACACGGCCCAGACUCCUUCGGGAGGCAGCAGUAGGGCAUCUUCGGCAAUGGGCGGAAGUCUGACCGAGCAACGCCGCGUGAGUGAAGAAGGUUUUCGGAUCGUAAAGCUCUGUUGUAAGGGAAGAACGAGUGUGAGAGUGGAAAGUUCACACUGUGACGGUAUCUUACCAGAAAGGGACGGCUAACUACGUG
rnacentral:rRNA from 1 species